rnacentral:rRNA from 1 species
AACCAGCACCUCAAGUGGUCAGGAUGAUUAUUGGGCCUAAAGCAUCCGUAGCCGGCUCUGUAAGUUUUCGGUUAAAUCUGUACGCUCAACGUACAGGCUGCCGGGAAUACUGCAGAGCUAGGGAGUGGGAGAGGUAGGCGGUACUCGGUAGGAAGGGGUAAAAUCCUGUCAUCCUGUGAGGACCACCUGUUGCGAAGGCGCCACACUAGAACGGAUCCGACGGUCAGGGACGAAGCCUAGGGGCACGAACCGG